AGCCCAAAAGUAAAUUUUGAAAUUCGUAUGCUGAAAAAAAUUCAGCUAAUGGAGUUUCCGUUGUUGAGAAAUUGGAUAAAUGAACUUGUAAAUGAUUCGCUUAAAAUAUCAUUGGUUGAUCCUGGUUAUGUAACCAUUCCCUUGUGCAAUGACCCUGAGUUGUUAGGAAGGCAAAGUGGUUAUGCUACUGGUGUAUUAACCAUAACAAUUAAAGGUGGUUUAAAUGGAAAAGCCACAAGU
rnacentral:lncRNA from 1 species